rnacentral:rRNA from 1 species
AGUUCAUCAUGGUCAGAUUGAACGCUGGCGGGAUGCUUUACACAUGCAAGUCGAACGGCAGCACGGACUUCGGUCUGGUGGCGAGUGGCGGAACGGGUGAGUAAUGUAUCGGAACGUGCCUAGUAGCGGGGAUAACUACGCUGGAAAGCGUAGCUAAUUACCGCAUACGCCCUUCGGGGCAGUGGGACCUUCGGGCCUCUGCACUAUUAGGAGCGGCCGAUAUCGGAUUAGCUUAGUUGUGGGGUAACGGCUCACCAAGGCGACAUCCGCAGCUGGUUUGAGAGGACGACCACACACUGGGACUGAGACACGGGCCCAGACUUUCACGGGCGGCAGCAGUGGGGAAUUUUGGAAGCCAAUGGGGAAACCCUGAUCCAGCCAUCCCGGGCGUGUGCGAUAAAGGACUUCGGUUGUAAAGCACUUUGGCAGUGAAAGAAACGGCACGGAUAAUACCCCGUGCAACUGACGGUACCUGCAGAAUAAGCAAUCAGCUAACUACGUGCCAGCAGCCGCGGUAAUAGCGUAGGUGCGCGUUAAUCGGAAUUACUGGGCGUAAAGGUGCAGGCGGAAGCCCGGAAAGAAAGAUGUGAAAUCCCAGAGCUUAACUUAAUCCAUUUUUAACUACCGAGCUAGAGUGUGUCAGAGGGAGGUGGAAUUCGCGUGCAGCAGUGAAAUGUAGAUGCGGAGGAACACCGAUGGCGAAGGCAGCCUCCUGAUAACACUGACGCUCAUGCACGAAAGCGGGGAGCAAACAGGAUUGUAUACCCUGGUAGUCCACGCUCCUAAACGAUGUCGGUCCAGCUGUUGGGGCCUUCGGGCCGGUAGCGCAGGGUUAUCGCAGAAGUUGACCGCCUGGGGAGUACGGUCGCAAGAUUAAAACCUGAGCGAAUUGACGGGGACCUGCACAAGCGGUGGAUGAUGUGACUAAUCCCGAUGCAACGCGAAAACCUUACCUACCCUUGACAUGUCUGGAACCCCGAAGAGAUUUUAUGCUCGCAAGAGAACCGGAACACAGGUGCUGCAUGGCUGUCAGCUCUCGUGUCGUGAGAUGGGUUGGGUUAAGUCCUGCAACGAGCGCAACCUGUCAUUAGUUGCUACGAGCAGCACUCGUAUCGAGACUGCCGGUGACAAAAACCGGAGAGGAAGGUGGUGAUGACAAGUCCCUGGUGGCCCUUGCGGGUAGGGGGCUUCACACGUCAUACAAUGGUCGGGACAGAGGUCGCCAACCCGCGAGGGGGAGCCAAUCCCAGAAACCCGAUCGUAGUCCGAUCGCAGUCUGCAACCUGACUGCGUAGUCGGAAUCGCUAGUAAUCGCGGAUCAGCAUGUCGCGGUGAAUACGUUCCUGGUCUUGUACACACCGCCCGUCACACCGGCGGAGUGGGUUUUACCAGAAGUAGUUAGCCUAAUCGCAGGAGGGCGAUUACCACGGUAGGAUUCAUGACUGGGUGAAGUCGUAAUGCU